UAGGACGACUCAGGGUUAAACUGUCAACCCUGAUUAGAUCAUCCGAAUCGUGCUCAACUCAAACAGUCUUGUGACUCCUCACAAAGACUACCCUGGCCAAGGUUUUUCUAAAUUGAAACACGACUGUACACAGCUCCUAAACUGGAGUGGUCAAUUCCAUCUUGACACACGCACCGACAAGUCAAGUACUUGACUACACCCAGCAGCCUUCCAUCACUGA
rnacentral:lncRNA from 1 species